rnacentral:rRNA from 1 species
GAUGAACGCUGGCGGCGUGCCUAAUACAUGCAAGUCGAGCGAACAGACGAGGAGCUUGCUCCUCUGACGUUAGCGGCGGACGGGUGAGUAACACGUGGAUAACCUACCUAUAAGACUGGGAUAACUUCGGGAAACCGGAGCUAAUACCGGAUAAUAUAUUGAACCGCAUGGUUCAAAAGUGAAAGACGGUUUUGCUGUCACUUAUAGAUGGAUCCGCGCUGCAUUAGCUAGUUGGUAAGGUAACGGCUUACCAAGGCAACGAUGCGUAGCCGACCUGAGAGGGUGAUCGGCCACACUGGAACUGAGACACGGUCCAGACUCCUACGGGAGGCAGCAGUAGGGAAUCUUCCGCAAUGGGCGAAAGCCUGACGGAGCAACGCCGCGUGAGUGAUGAAGGUCUUCGGAUCGUAAAACUCUGUUAUUAGGGAAGAACAAAUGUGUAAGUAACUAUGCACAUCUUGACGGUACCUAAUCAGAAAGCCACGGCUAACUACGUG